GACGAACGCUGGCGGCGUGCCUAAUACAUGCAAGUAGAACGCUGAAGGAGGAGCUUGCUUCUCCGGAUGAGUUGCGAACGGGUGAGUAACGCGUAGGUAACCUGCCUGGUAGCGGGGGAUAACUAUUGGAAACGAUAGCUAAUACCGCAUAAGAGUAGAUGUUGCAUGACAUUUGCUUAAAAGGUGCAAUUGCAUCACUACCAGAUGGAUCUGCGUUGUAUUAGCUAGUUGGUGGGGUAACGGCUCACCAAGGCGACGAUACAUAGCCGACCUGAGAGGGUGAUCGGCCACACUGGGACUGAGACACGGCCCAGACUCCUACGGGAGGCAGCAGUAGGGAAUCUUCGGCAAUGGACGGAAGUCUGACCGAGCAACGCCGCGUGAGUGAAGAAGGUUUUCGGAUCGUAAAGCUCUGUUGUAAGAGAAGAACGAGUGUGAGAGUGGAAAGUCACACUG
rnacentral:rRNA from 1 species